AUGGCCUCCAUCUGUCUCGGAGCCAGUGUGGCCCAGAAGGUAACCCAAGCUCAGACUACAACUUCUGUGGUGGAGAAGGAGCCGGUGACUCUGGACUGUGUGUAUGAAACCAGUGACCCUACUUACUACUUGUUCUGGUACAAACAACUACCAAGCGGAGAAAUGAUUUUCCUCAUUCGUCAGGACUCUUAUAAUGAGAAAAACGCAACCGAGGGUCGGUAUUCUCUGAACUUCCAGAAAGCAGUCAGCGCCAUCAGCCUCACAAUCACAGCCUCACAGCUUGUAGACUCAGCAGUGUAUUUCUGUGCUCUGAGAGAAAACCCACAGUGCGAUGGGUGCCUGCAGAGGCUCUACCAAAACCUCAGCGGGAGGCAGGGCCUCUGA